CUAUGUAGUUGGUUUGGACUUAACAAUUUUUUCAGCAACUCCCAUUCCUUGUGUGUUGCUUCGCUCACAAAUUACCCUUUCUGUGCGUCAUUGACGACAUCAUCAUGUUUGGACUCAAGACCGCGUUGCUUCUUUUGGUGGCUAUCAACGUCUUGGUGAAUGGAUACCAGGAUGAUGGCUACCUGGAUGGCGAGUUGGAAGUCCUCCUCAAGCGCCUUCUGGAGGGUCUUGA